GACGAACGCUGGCGGCGUGCUUAACACAUGCAAGUCGAACGGAAAGGCCCUGCUUUUGUGGGGUGCUCGAGUGGCGAACGGGUGAGUAACACGUGAGUAACCUGCCCUUGACUUUGGGAUAACUUUAGGAAACUGGGGCUAAUACCGGAUAGGAGCUCCUGCUGCAUGGUGGGGGUUGGAAAGUUUCGGCGGUUGGGGAUGGACUCGCGGCUUAUCAGCUUGUUGGUGGGGUAGUGGCUUACCAAGGCUUUGACGGGUAGCCGGCCUGAGAGGGUGACCGGCCACAUUGGGACUGAGAUACGGCCCAGACUCCUACGGGAGGCAGCAGUGGGAAUAUUGCACAAUGGGCGGAAGCCUGAUGCAGCAACGCCGCGUGCGGGAUGACGGCCUUCGGGUUGUAAACCGCUUUCGCCUGUGACGAAGCGUGAGUGACGGUAAUGGGUAAAGAAGCACCGGCUAACUACGUG
rnacentral:rRNA from 1 species